rnacentral:rRNA from 1 species
UACGGAGGGGGCUAGCGUUGUUCGGAAUUACUGGGCGUAAAGCGCACGUAGGCGGACCAGCAAGUUAGGGGUGAAAUCCCGGGGCUCAACCCCGGAACUGCCUUUAAAACUGUUGGUCUGGAGGUCGAGAGAGGUGAGUGGAAUUCCGAGUGUAGAGGUGAAAUUCGUAGAUAUUCGGAGGAAUACCAGUGGCGAAGGCGGCAUGCUGGGCCUGAAGCCGUAAGGCUGAACCCGACGCUCGGGCGCGAAAGCGUGGGGAGCGAACGGA